GGACACGGUCAUCAUGGACACGGUCAUCAUGGUCAUCAUGGUCAUCAUGGUCAUCAUGGACAUCAUGGACAUUGUCGUCAUGGAUAUGAGUAUGGACGUUGUCACCAUGGCUGUGUAUAUGGUGGACACUCACACGGGCUCCACCACAGGCUGAGACACAAGCACAGGGGUGGUCACAGACACCUCAGUUGUCACAAGAAGGGGAGGCACUGUCGCGGGUACGAAAGCAGCUCCUGCAGCAGCGACUCUGAUUAGAAGAAGCCUGAGAAGCAGCUUCAUCUCUUCUUUUACAAUAAUUUAACUAAUUUAACUGUAAUCAAAUUUGGUGUCUUUGGUUUUAGGGAGUUUUUAUCUGCCUAUAAAACAGAACGAAGUAAUACUUUCUGUGUGGCCUUUUAAUAAAACCUGAAACAAUAAAAAUCUGAGUGAAAGCAUAA